AGUAAUGCUUGGGAAUCUGGCUUAUGGAGGGGGAUAACUACGGGAAACUGUAGCUAAUACCGCGUAGUAUCGAGAGAUUAAAGUGUGGGACCUUCGGGCCACAUGCCAUAGGAUGAGCCCAAGUGGGAUUAGGUAGUUGGUGAGGUAAAGGCUCACCAAGCCGACGAUCUCUAGCUGGUCUGAGAGGAUGACCAGCCACACCGGGACUGAGACACGGCCCAG
rnacentral:rRNA from 1 species